CCACCUCGAUUUGCUGGGGACAAAUAAAGUGAAUGUGACUGUCGAUGCCACCCGCUGUGAGGAUAUGUCCUUCUCCGGCGAUCGCCUCAGUGCCGGGGCCAAUAAUGAUAUCAAUAUUAUCCUGAAUAUCUGGGUUGCCCGCCUUACCGAUUUUGUGAAUUUUGCCAUCUUUAAUGCCAAUAUCGGCUUUAACGAUGCCCCACCAAUCAACGAUGAGCGCGUUAGUAAUCACCACAUCAACAGCACCAUCUGCACGAGUCACCGCCGACUGACCCAUGCCAUCGCGG
rnacentral:sRNA from 1 species